ensembl:lncRNA
CGCUUUACAAACAGGUUGGUUUUUAUUUUUAUUGGAAUACAUAUGGUCUGCUGUACAGCUUCAAGAGACCUACAUGCAGAGUGCGCCAGCCACAGAAAGGUUAAAACAUGCACAAUGUAUUAAGUUUAAAACGAAAAAAAGAAGCCUCCCCACACAGUACACCUGGCAUUGCUGACACAGAGAAGCAGUAAUCAAUCAUAAAACAAUUUUGAUCUGAUUUUAAUCACAUGUACGUCUGUGUUUGACACCUCUGUCUGUCAGUCUCCUUGUUCUGCACACACAUUUAUAUACACUCAUCUAUUUAAAAAACCCAAAUAAACAAACAAAUAAACCCCUCAUUUGUACAGUUCGGAAAAUCUUAGAUGUGGAUGGAUCAGCGUUAAGAGAGAGAACAUCCAGUUAAAAAAAAAAUGUAUUCUUUUAAUUCGUUAUCCGAUUGUUCCUGUUAAGAUUGUAGGUUUCAAUAUAUACACAUGUCUGGGGACCUGCACGCUUCUUUCUUUGGCAGCACUUUCAAACAUACAGCACAGAAGAUGUACAAACCCUGAAUUUAUGAGAGAGGGAGAUCAGGGCGGCAAAGCGGCUGGAGCAGUGAAUGGUCCCCGAUUUAAAAAAAAAAAAAUGAAACAAAAAAAAGAGAAAAGGGACUCAACACCGGAGACCUGCUCAGCUCUGAUAAAACGCACAUAACUCUCACUCUUCAAAGACUAUCGCUGGCUUCUCUUUUUCCUCAUCCACGGUGCGUCAUCAUGUCUCCAGGUUGUGAGAAACGUCUUGCAUUAAAACUACCAAGCACAAAAUACACGAAGAAGAACUCUCCAGGAGUGUGACAGAGAAAAAGGAAAAAAAAAAAAAAAAACCCUCUUUAAAUCAAGAUGGACAAAUACUUUAUAUAUUUCAAUAAUAAGGCCCACUUUACAAAAUUAGUUUUUCCUUAAAUAAAAUCUAUCCAAUAUAGAUUCCAAAAUAAGACAUCUUUUGUUUAACAAAGAGAAAAAAACAUCCAUAAGAAGAGAGCUGACAGAGAAAAGACAAACCUCACUUAUAUUUCCCCUUUAUUUCAGAAUCUUAAGAGACACCGUGUCCUCCUGAGGAAACUCUUGCACCGUCUCUGUAAACUGUAAAUACUGUGGAAUGAUGUUGGCACAUUGUUAAAAGGCUGAGACACAAACAUGAUUCCUUCACUGAGUGCAUGCCAAUUUCCUUUACCUGCUGAGAUGAUUCUUGAAAAGAAUUUACAAAAAGAAACAAAUAAUAAACACUACAUAACCAGCUGUGGUACAUUCAGCAAACAGCUACGGACAAUUUUGGGGGCACAGAAGAGGAAACGUUUUAACAACGGGGGACUUAAAGGGGGCAUUAGUUGUUUAAGUGCUGGUUAAGUGCAGAUUACAGCCUAUGCCAUCCAAUGACACCAUAACCCUGGCUUCACAAUGGAGGCAUUUGAGGACAAGGGCCUGCUAACUGCCCAAGAGCCAUUCCUCCGAUCUCCACUAAGUACAUUCUAGUCUACUUUUAUAAAAGGAAAAACAAAAUGUUUAUAGAUAUACCACCACAUCUUAAGAGGAUUUCUAUUAACUCUUUAGCUGGUAUCCUAGCAGGAAAGCAGAAGCAGCCUCUUUUUGUUUUUAAACAGCAGCUAUUACACCAUUGCUGUAAUUCAGUCCACAUUCAACCAUCAAUCACAAAUCAGAGGAGAUAUCAGGAAAAGAAAACAGCCCUGGAAUCCUUAAAACCUGUGAAAUUAUCACUGCAGCCACCCCCCAGAGAAAUGCUUCACAGUGGUGCUGCUUAGGGAUCGGUGGAGGAGUAUCACGUUGGAUUGGAAGAAAACAGUAACAAGAACUUUAUGGGCCAUGAGGCAGGAUAAUGGGUGGAUUAGGGCACUGGCUCUGGUGCUUGCAUCACCAUCCUGACCCACAAACGCCCUCCAGCCAACUCAGGGAUCUGCAGACACCACUUGAGCUUUAAAUGAGAACCCUCGCUGACAUAUCAACAACAGCAACACGCAAACACUGAGAGAAGAGCACGUGUAUAUCUGGCAGAAACGGACACUCGAUACCUCCCCCGGGUGUUUUAAUUAUCAUCAAGUGCACGUCACUGCCAAGCUGGCCAUUUUUGACCCUCCUGUAUUUAGAAGCCCUGAAUCAAGAUGUAGAGACAGGAUUAGACCCAGAUCUGACCUUUCACCUUUCAGCUACCCAGGGAGCUGCCCAUCAUUUUCUGGUGACAGGCCUCUGCACCAGUAGCACACAUCACUGCUGUUUAGGGCAAAGGUUUUCCUUUUAGGAAAUGAGAAUCUAAGGAAAAUACAGAGAAACAGAGGGAGGAGGAAGGGACACUUGGUUUUUUAGCAAAAUCCUAAAAGUUAAAAUUGGUCGAAAAGAUGAGAGACUGGGGAGGAGAGGGCCUUCUCUCUUGGUAAAUGAGAAGAGUCGCAGUAGGAACAAUAACAGAGGGAGCACAGGAGGACAUGAGACAGUGCGUCUGGUCCGUUUUUGCUCCAUCAUAAAGCCGGUGGAGGCGGCUGGCCACGAAGCAAGCCUUUCAGAGGCAGAGCUGCACCCUGUGACUCUGACAGUCAAAUCCAAAAGACACAGCGGCGUGGGUCAUGUUCUUUAACAGGGUGCUUUGGAGGUGGGUUAGAAAAGGAGUUUUGGUGUUUUGUGCGAGAGUCUUAUUUCAUCUUCAUUCAGGGAGGACUUCCCC